UUAAGAAGAAAAAAGCGGUAGCAUGAACGCAUGGUGUACUGUUUUAUUGAAGCUUGUUCACUCACUGUUGGUUUUGGAAGGACAUAAUGACUUCAUCAGUGUCAAAGGGAUGUUUUGUUUUUAAGUCAGCCUCCAAAAAGAGAAAGCGACAUAUAGGAGUUGGUGGAUAUUUGGUGGAUGAUAGUGACGAUAACGGCAGCGAUCGCUUUAGAAUCUGUCAGAAAUUAUAGGAAACGGUUCAAAUGAACACAGAGGUAAUACAAGAUCGUUGAAUAAAAAGGUACUUGACAGUCUUGCAGAGUUCAUUAAAAAGCAUG